rnacentral:rRNA from 1 species
AUUGAACGCUGGCGGCAUGCUUUACACAUGCAAGUCGAACGGUAACAGGCCUUCGGGCGCAGACGAGUGGCGAACGGGUGAGUAAUGCAUCGGAACGUGCCCAGUCGUGGGGGAUAACGCAGCGAAAGCUGUGCUAAUACCGCAUACGAUCUGCGGAUGAAAGCGGGGGACCUUCGGGCCUCGCGCGAUUGGAGCGGCCGAUGUCAGAUUAGGUAGUUGGUGGGGUAAAGGCGCACCAAGCCAACGAUCUGUAGCUGGUCUGAGAGGACGACCAGCCACACUGGGACUGAGACACGGCCCAGACUCCUACGGGAGGCAGCAGUGGGGAAUUUUGGACAAUGGGCGCAAGCCUGAUCCAGCAAUGCCGCGUGCAGGAAGAAGGCCUUCGGGUUGUAAACUGCUUUUGUACGGAGCGAAAAGGCUCCCUCUAAUACAGGGGGCUCAUGACGGUACCGUAAGAAUAAGCACCGGCUAACUACGUGCCAGCCGCCGCCGUAAGAC